GAAGAAGAGGAAGGAAAUCGUUGAGCGAGCAGCACAGUUGGAUGUUGUCGUUACCAACAAAUUGGCUAGGUUGCGCAGCCAGGAGGACGAGUGAAGGUCGGUUCUUGAAUGUUGAUUUUGCUCUUUUUAAUAUGAUAUUUUCUUGUUUAGGAAGUAAGAACUUCUGGUCCAAUGUUAAAAUUAUUAUAUUUUUAUCUGAGUAGCAUUGUCUCUUUUUUUUGUUGUGAUUUGAGUAUAGAACCCCAUUUCUAAUUUAAUGUAUGCUUGAUGUUUUGAGGGAUCUCUUCUUUGUCCAUGCUUUUCUACAAUAAUGAAAGGUUUAAGAUACUGGGAAGGGUGAAUGAACCCGUCCAACUGGUUGGACUGGUUGGAUUGGAAAUUGUCUAGGAUAUUGGUCCGGAGAAUGGAAUUAGAUCAGUUGACUUGAGAACGGGUUUGACCAUUGGUUAGGGUUGGUUUUUAAUUUUUAAUAAUUUAAUAUAUAUUUUUAAUUUUUAAAUAAUUUGUUUAAUCAAAUCCAACGGACCGGUUCGACCAUUGGUUAGGGUUGGGUUUUUUUUUUGGGAUUUGGGACGGUUGUGGUUCUGUGGACAAAUACUAAAUCCACUGAGAAGUAAAUGCAUAGAUCAAAUCCAUUAAAUACGUUAUUUAAUUUUUUUAUAAGAAUAAAUUGUAUUUUUGUUUUUGAAAUUAAAAAACUUUAAGUUACAAUCGAAAAGAUAAUAAUACUAAAAACAAACAAAUAAAAUAGUUUGUAAGAAAAUCAAAUAUGGGUUACAUUCGACUUGAAUGUAGAUAUACGAGCAAAAUCAUUUAAAUAUUUGAUUUAAUAUAAAAUUUAUGAAUGUUUAUUAAUAAUAUUAUUAAUUGAACUUUAAUUUCUAAAUUGAAUGAGAUAAAAUUCUUAAAAUUUAAUUCAUAUUCACAAUAUCGCACGACUUUAGAGCCUUUAAUUUGUAAUUUGCUUGGUCUUUCACAUGUUUUUUUGAGUAUGCUUCGUAUAGUCACAUAUUGAUUUGCCCUUAGACUUUUAACUCGUAAUCUCGCGUGGUCUUUCACAUGUUAUUCAAGUUUUAUAAAGAUUACCAUAAUUUAGAUAGUUUAUUUUCCAUUUUCAUAUUUUAUUCACAUUUUUUUCUAUAUUUUAUACCAUUUUAUGGUCAUAUUUUCGGCUCUAAACUAUCAACACACAAUAUAAAUUGCACCCAAUGCUCAUUAGUUCAUUCAAAGUAAUAUGCGCCCAACAUUUAUCAGUAUAUAACCGAAGUAAAGUGUACCUAGCACUUAUCGCUACAUACAAAGUAAUAUGUGCCCAAAGUUCAUCGAUAUAUAAUCAAAAUAAGUAUCCCCGUAUAAUAAAUCCUAUGAUAUGCCAACUAUACCCAUAACUCUAUCCGAGACCGUUUUAUAAGACAUUUAUAAUGUUAAUAUAUAUGUAUUUAUUUAUAUUCAUUUUUAAAUCAUUUUUUAUGAUUUUUCACUAAAUCACAACACGAACAUAGAUAUACAUAUAAACUCAAUAAAUCACCAAAUUAUAAGAAUAAAUAUAAAGCUAUAUAUAUAUGUACACCUUAAUUCGUUAAAGUUAUUUUACCUUCCAUGAAAUUAAGCAUUAACAUUAUGCCAUGGUAUAACCUGUUUCAUUUAAUAAUGCUACUAUGAUUCAAUUCAUUAUAUUAUAACAAAAUUUAUCUAAGCUUAAUUACUAAUUUACCUUACACAUAUAUAUAUUUAUAUAUAAACAAUGACACAUAGAUUAUUAAUUUCACGAAAGAUUAUCAUAUUAAUUAAUAGCAAUCCAUCAUUAUCAAAACCUAACUAUCUUUUAUUAUCAAUAUUUUUAUAACUUAACUACUUAGUAAAUAUAUGAAAAUAAAGCAAAUUAUGCUAGUACAAACUGAUUUCGCUAUUUCACUCUCGUUUGAUCCUCGACAUUCCAACCUCGUUAUUAAUUAUGUAUCAUAAUUCGAUUACAAAAGUAGCAUUAGAUCUUAUUCAAUAAAAAACAUAAUUUACAAUCAAGCAUAUUUGCAUUCUUUACAAUUAAGUUCCUUUAUAACCUUAUCAUCCAAAAUACUUGUAUCUCAUUAUUAACUUAAUCGAAUCAAAAUCCGACUUCGUAUUUAUUCUUUAGGGAUCUCAUAAUAUUAAUCCAUAGCAUUAAUUUCCAAUAACUUUCAUUCAAUUCAAAUUCAUCUCUAAAUACUCAAAAAUAACCAGUAAACUUAAUUAACAUUGUUCCAUCAUUAUCCAAUUAACUAUCAGUGUGCUUCCUACUUAAACUAAGCUCAACUUCCUACAGCAAUUUCUCAAAAUUCUUUACCAUGAUAACCGUAUUUCAAUUAUCCUUGGUUAAAUAACCAUCUAAGUCCUUGCUCAAUUCUAAAACGAUUUCCACUAGCUUAAUAUACCAUCAAUUUAGUUCUUAUACUAUUCGGUACUCCAUUUAAUUAUUUACUAAAUAAGUUCAUUUCUAAUUUAAUUACUAAAAUUUCUAUUUAAUAAUUUUAUAUCGCUUCAUAAUUGUUCUAUUAAAUAUUUUGGAUGACUCAGUUUAAUAAAUUCGAUUCCAUAACUAAUUUUUUCAACACUCAUGAAAAUCAGAUCGUUAUAUGUAAAGAGUAUAAGAACCUAUAACAUAUUUUAACUACUUUAUUUAAUUUCUUUUUACAAUUUUUUAAUAAAAAAAAAGAAUAAAGAAAACAAAUAGUCUAUGAGUAAAGACUACAAAUAAUCUUCGCAUUUUAAUAUAUUUUUUUAUUAAAUAUGAAUAAGAAUUUGAGUCUUGUUUGUUAAAUGAAUCAAAUAAGAAUGAUUUUUUUUUAUUUAGGUUAUUGAAUAAACUCGUUUAUGUUUGUUUAAAGCUUAUUUAAGAUUAUUAUAUAUUAAUAAAAUUUUUAUUUGUAUCCUUAUUUUAUUUAUUUAUAAUAUGUUAUUAAUAUUUAUAUUUGAUUAUUUUAUGUCUAAAAAAUAAUAUACAUGUUUAUUUAUUUAUUAUUAUUAUUAAUGAACAUUGUUCGUGAAAAUGUUCAAUUAUAUAUUAGCGAACAUGUUCGUUUAACUUAAAUAAACAAACAUGAACAUACAUAUUUCUAAAUAAAUGAAGCCAAUUUUGAAAUUCUUAAUGAACAUGAACCAAACACGAACAAAUCUUAAAAUUAAACAAACAAACAUGAACAGAGGUCUAUUUGUUCAAGCUCGGUUCAUUUACAAUCCUAUUAGUCAAUUUUGAUUUCAGUUUAAUCGGUUAAUUCAAUCAAUUAUUCAUUUUUUAAUCCUAGAACCGAACCGACUUAUUUUAUAAUAUAUAAUAAAUAUGUAAUCAUAUAAAACCAACCCAAUAACCCUAAACCCAACCAAACCAAAUUAAAUCAGUUCAGUUUGGUCAAUUUUCUCAACGGAAAUCGAUUGGGUCGAUUUUCUCAUGUUAAAAUUAGUUUAAUCUGUUUGAAAAAUUAACCAAUUUAAUCCGUUAAACCGAUUACUCUCUCCUAUUGGCAACUUUCUUUUUAUAAUUAUUAAAUGCUUCAUUUAAUAGAUCGAACAACUUGAUAUAGAUCAAGCUUAAUUUAAGUAUUAUAAUAUUUUAUUUAAAUUGUUUUUAAAAAAAAUUAAUCUUUUCAUUUUAAUAUAAAUAUUAUAUUAUAAAAUUAUACUUUAAUCCUUUAUCAUAUCUAAAUAGUUUAAUUAGGCUCGAUUAUUAAAUACACAAUUUGAUAAAUGAAUUUAAUCAAGCAUAAAUAUUAAGUUAUGAAUUUCAAGUAGAAAAGUUCGGGUUUGAAUCCAACCCCCUACGGGCUGGACUCUGAAAUGAGAACAAUAAUCUCUACUCUCAAACCUAAACACCAGAUCGCUCCUCUUCCCGAUAUAUACACAAUUCCCGCUUAACUCCUUUCUUCUUCACCUUUAGGGUUUACAAGUGCCGCACACCAGCCUAGCGUUUCCAUCAGGUAACUCACUUUUCAUUCGAUUUAUUACUUCAAUUUGGUUUAUCGGAGUUUAAUUUGUUGUCUGAAUCUUCGAAAAAUUGAUUCGUUAAGCAGGAAGAAAUGGCGGUCCCUUUGCUGUCGAAGAAGAUUGUGAAGAAGCGUGUUAAGAAGUUCAAGAGGCCCCAAAGUGAUCGCAAGAUCUCUGUCAAGGUUAAAGCAAAAGAUAAUUCUUAUCUUUCUUAUAGUAUUUUACUGUAAUUGGUAUUACUGGGUUCUUUUUUUACUGUGAUCUUAAUAUCUUAAUUGGGGGAUCUCCCUAGCUGAAGAUUAUGUGUGUGUUUUCCCUUACAAUGCUAUAGAGAAUUGAGGUUACAAAGAAAAAAUAUGAAUGCCGAUUGAGUACUAGCAGUUGGCAUUGUUGCUGGGGGUUCGAGCGUAAUUUAGAGGUUUGAAGGGGGUUUAUGUGUAGUUAAAGAAUUGUAUAUAUAUAUAGAAUAACAAAUAUAAUCAAUUCAGGAUGUUUCAAUGGUGUAUUCGUGUUUGCAUUGUAGAAAUUAUUACAGAGGAUGCUAGUGGACUCUGUUUUCUUUUUCUUCUGCUGUUUUAAUGUGGAUAUUUUACUUGUAGAAGCCUAAAAGCCUAGAAUUAUUUUUUUAAGACUUUUUCAAGUUGAUGUAUAACAUCACUGCCACUGAACGUGCAACCUUUGGGGUUGCCUGUUCCGCAGAAUGGGUUUGAAUUCAUUUAACUUAAAUGUGCUUCAAUGAGAGAAUGUUAGCAGAAUUAUCACACUUCUGGCUGCUUGUUUUGCUCGAUGAUCACUAUUCUCCAUUAAGAUCGUGAAGAUUAGACAUGGCUCCUUUAGGUGUGCUUGUGAAUUGCAUAUGAAAAUUGCUUUAUCGAUAUGUUAUUCCGGUUUUAUUGGUUGUAAGUGGAAUAAUAUUUGUAUAGAAGCAAUGUCAGUCAUCUUGUUGAUACUUAUGUCUCACAAUAUGAGCCUAGCCUCACCUUAUCUUCUCUAUUUAACUAGGUGAAGCAAACAUAAGUAUAGAAAUCUUUUUUCUUUUUCCUUUUGUGUUAAUAAAUUUAUGCAGGGUAAACCUUUUAGAUACAUGCUUAUGCGACUUUACAUUUAGUUAGGGUGUAGCGGCGAAGGAUUAUUGUUCUUUUUGUUUCAGUGCUGUGUUGAAACUAAGCUAUUUCUUUCAUGCUUCUGCUUCUGUGUUAUUUUGAUGUCCGAUGCCAUGCUUCAGCUUAUAUGUCGUAUGGUCUUUAAAUAUGUUUAUUACGACAAUUUGGUGCAUCCUUGUUAGUUGAAGUCUAGUUUAGCCAAAAUCACACAAACUAGCUCUCAGCAAUGUUGUUAACAAACUUACAUAUUUGCAGACAAACUGGCGAAGGCCCAAGGGUAUUGACUCCCGUGUUAGGAGGAAGUUCAAGGGAUGCACUUUGAUGCCCAACAUCGGUUACGGGUCAGACAAGAAAACACGCCACUAUCUUCCCAAUGGGUUUAAGAAAUUUGUGGUGCACAAUGUCCAAGAGCUAGAGCUUCUCAUGAUGCACAACAGGUAUAAUACAUGAUGUUUAAUCUUUGUUUUGAUCAGCACUUUUCUAGAUUGUUUCUUAUUAUUACUGCAUUCUUAGGACAUACUGUGCUGAGAUAGCACAUGAUGUUUCAACGAAGAAGAGGAAGGAAAUCGUUGAGCGAGCAGCACAGUUGGAUGUUGUCGUUACCAACAAAUUGGCUAGGUUGCGCAGCCAGGAGGACGAGUGAAGGUCGGUUCUUGAAUGUUGAUUUUGCUCUUUUUAAUAUGAUGUUUUCUUGUUUAGGAAGUAAGAACUUUUGGUCCCAUGUUAAAAUUAUUAUAUUUUUAUCUGAGUAGCAUUGUCUCUUUUUUUUGUUGUGAUUUGAGUAUAGAACCCCAUUUCUAAUUUAAUGUAUGCUUGAUGUUUUGAGG
rnacentral:lncRNA from 1 species